rnacentral:rRNA from 1 species
GACGAACGCUGGCGGCGUGCUUAACACAUGCAAGUCGAACGAAAAGUCCCUGCUUUUGUGCGUUUGUCGAUUGAAGAAGAGGGAAGUUACACGUGAGUACGCUAUACCUCACCUAAUGGGGUGCUAACGACACAUAGUGUCUUACCCGAAAUGAUCUAUUGCCUUUUGGUGGGGACGCGUUAGAUUCGGUAGUUGGUAGGGUAAAAGCCUACCAAGGCGACGUUGCAUAGCUGGUCUGUGAGGAUGAUCAGCCACACUGGGACUGAGACACGGCCCAGACUCCUACGGGAGGCAGCAGUGGGGAAUAUUGGACAAUGGGCGAAAGCCUGAUCCAGCAAUGCCGCGUGAGUGAUGAAGGCCUUAGGGUUGUAAAGCUCUUUUACCCGGGAUGAUAAUGACAGUACCGGGAGAAUAAGCUCCGGCUAACUCCGUG